UCUAAUUAUUUCUUUCGUCAAAGGGUCGUUUUCCUCAACACGAUGGUAAAAUCAAACCACAAUUAUCCUCCACCUGCUGGAGGUAAAUCAAAAUUACGAUUUUACUGUGCGUUUAUAGACUUCUCGAACACAUACGAACCCAAUCACCCCUCUAUGGAAUCCAAGAAAUCAAUUGUCCAAAAUCCAGACAAAACAUCUUAACUAUUAAGUACAAAAUCAAGAGUAGAGAUAGUUUGAUUUGGUAGGUUAUACUACGAAAAUAACACAACAAAACCUUAAUAUUAAAUUUUCGAUCAAUUUAUCUGGUUUUUUAGUUCAUAAGUUUUUUUCAAGGGGCCCUUUUUCAAUGUAAUUCAUAAAAUUUCUAAUUAGUUUAUUAAUGGAAGACCUAAACACACUUUUAAAAGAUUAUUUCCAAAUUCAAAACACCAUAAUGCUAAACAAUAUCUCAAUUACGAAGUACUUUUACAUAUUUUUAAUUUUCAACACGUUAAUUUAAUUUCCAUUACUACAGAAAACCACUAUACACAACCAAAAACAUCAACUCCCUUCUACUUUUACAUCUCUAUCGAUUGACUUCCAACUUCAUUCGCAUAAAAAAUGAAUAAUCAAUCUUAAAAAAACUCAAUGUCAUAUAUUCCUUCUUAUAAUUGCUUUAAAUCUAUUUCAACAACAAUCAGAAAUAGCCACAACUAUGGUCAUACACAAAUUUUAACUUCACCCAAUAUCCGCGCGUAGCGCGGACACGAUCCUAGUCCCACUAUAUAAAAGCUACUAAUUUUGGAUGUUAUAAAGGAUGCCACAUAGGCAAAAUAUUCUCAGCCAUUCAUUCUGCCACGUCACUGAUAACCCAGACCAACAAAUCGUAAUUGCAGCCCAGCCCGUUAACCGGUUUCGCUCACGAAAUUGCUGUCUCCGUCUCUUUGCUGUUGGGCCAGAUUAAAAAAUUUUCCAGCCCAUCCCAUUACUUAUUUCAACUGUCAAACUAUUUUCUUUUGCAUUUUCUAUUAUUUCAGACAAUUUUUUAUUUCAACUGUUUUCUAUAACAAUGUGCAAACCGCCUAAGUUCCCUUUGAUCUUAAAAUAGUACGCCCAAGAUAACAAAACCCCCUCAUUUCACACACAGUCCCUGUAAAUUUCUAUAAAAAACUAAAUUCUACUAUCAAACCCACCCAACAAAUUUACUACUACCACCUAUAAUUAUGGCCCGGCCUACUUAAACUUUAAAAAAAACCAUGACAAUACUUAAAAAAAACACACCCUAACUAUGUUCACUUCAAAAAAAAAAAUUUAAACAAAAUUGCCAAAAAAAUACUAAUUCUCAUUCUUAUCUAUGUAGCACAUGCACCACAAGAUCAAAGCAAUUAGGACAACACUCUCGAACCUCAUCCAAUAAUCGUUAGGAUCCUUAGGGUCUGGCCCAUCACAAAUCACAAAAAUAAAGAUGCUUUCCUAGGGACAACUUUCAUAUGUCUUGACAUCCAGGAACAAAAAAUAGAGGGGAAGGUACCUAUUUCUACGUCUGACACAAUGUACCAACGCUUCGAAGAAGGGAAAAUUUAUCACAUUAGAUAUUUUAAUCUCCUCCCCAAUAACCAACGUUACAGGCUUACCGAUCAACCAUACAUAAUCAAUAUCAAAGAAACAACAACUAUUACACUGAUUCAAGAAAACAUUGCACCGAUUCCUUCAUACAUAUUCCGGCCACAACGCUACACCCAGUUGAUCAGCUUAGCAAGUGAAACCAACUUCCUACCAGGUAAAAAAAAAACAAAAACUCUCUCACACAAAAAUAAAUCCUAAUUUUUUUCCAAACAACCAAAUUAUUCCUACAGAUGUUGUUGGCCGCAUUUGCCUCAUCCAAGGAAGUGAUUUAUAUAACCACUACACAGAUUCAAAAAUCAUCAUUGGAUUACGUUUAGACAGGUACAAACUUUUUAUUAAGUAAUAAUUGGUUUACAACUAAACAAAAUCUAAUACAAUAAUUAUUUGUAGAUCGAAAUUGGUACGUCUAACUUUAUGGGACAAGGAGGCAUCUAAUUUCAGGGAGUUAAAUCGCAUAUCAACAAGGAAAAAACAAGUCGUAAUCAUCACAAGUAUCAUUCCACGGAUACAUGAAGGUAAUAAACUAAACAUAAACUUUACAAAAAACUAAAUGCUAACAAAUAUUUGCCUUUUUCAGAAAAACUAUCACUCACAGCAACACCUGGAACGCGCUUCUACUUUAACAACGAAAUUGAUAUCAUUCAACGCUUCCAAAAGAGGAAUAAACUGCUAUCUUAAGCCUCAUAGCAAACACCACCAGUCAACUUUUAAAACAUUUACGUUACCACUUCCUACGUCAAUUAAAUUGUCACACACAAAGAUUAUUUUCUCAUUCAAAUAUCGAAUUCCUCAAAACUAUUUAUUAUUCAUACUUACAGUUGUUUUUUAAAAAAAAAUGAUCACCGUUUCGAACUUCUCCCCUGUAUAAAAAAACAAAACUUAACUUAUCCUUUCAGAAACCAAAAAACACACAAUUUUAAUUCACCUGAUUUUUAUUAAACAUGUAAUCCGCGCGCAGCGCGGACGCCGGCCCUAGUUAUUAUAAAACUAGGUAAAGAACCCGUGCGAUAUCGCACGGAACUCAUUUUAUAAGAAUAAAUAAGUUAUAUUUUCAAUAAAACACUUUUUUUAAAAAACUUGUUACAAUUGCUUUCGAAAAAAUACAUGUAUUACAUAAAUAUCUUGCAUGCAGUUAUAUUUGUCUAUUGAUAAAGUUAUAUUUGUCUAUUGAUAAUAUAUGUAUUUUGCAUUAGUAGUUUUGUGCUUAACUGAAAAUUUGGAGCUAAACGACCAAAGAAAAAUAGUGUGAAAUUCAGAAAAUACAAGUAUUAAAUAUAUUAAUUUUGUAAAUAUAUAAUAUUAUCAAAUGAAUUAAAUUACUCAGCAAAUAUAACGACCAGAUUGUUUUUUAUAUAAUUUUAAAGAUUAUUUAAAAUGUAGAUAAAUAAAUAUAAAAUAAAUGAAAAAGUAUUUUUUGAAAAAUCUAUACAAUUUUUAGAAUGAGAAGACACAUCCUUAAAUAUUUUGACAUUCUCUUCAAGCUAAUAAAAUUUUCCAAAUUUAUAUGUUUUUGCCAAGAUCUUUAAUGAACUUUUAAAAAUGAAUCUCUCUUUUCCUAAUUUAUUUUGUGAUUGUUAUGAUUUUUAUUUUAGUUGUGAUUAUUAUUCUUAUUUUUUUUUGUUUAGAGGGCUAAGGGUUUCAAUGGUUGACAACCAAACAUUACAAUGGCUAGUUAGUGGUUGCAAUAGAUAACACGAAAAUUCAAAAUAGCUCAUCCCCGAGUACUACAAUCACCAAAUGCUACAAUUACCAACAAUUACAAUGGUUCAUUACCAAAUAUUGCAAUGGUCCAUCACCAAUAGUUAAAAUCAACAACAAAUGUAACGUUUCAUUUAGUUAGUUUCAAUAGUUCAUUUAGAUAAUUGCAAUAAUUCAUUUAAACGAUUUCAAAGAAUGACUUAAUUCAUUUAAUUAGAUAGUCUAUUAAUAAAUAGUACAUAUAUCAAACUUAUGCAUAUAAGUUAUAAUGUACAUAAAUAAAAAAUAUAUGUUCAUGGUUUUAGUUUUCUUAAUAUUAAUCUAUUAAUAAAUAAAAUUAUCUAAACAUGACCUAUAUUUUUUUCUUUAAACGAAUAAAUGAAACCGGAAGAGAAAAAAAUAUCCACACCAAAGCAUAUGAUAUUACAAACCAUGCAAUAUAAUUGAAAACCAUAUAGAUAAUUUUUUCUAAAUAUAUAAUAUUAUACUAAUUAUUAAAUUACACAACAAACCGAAUUAUUAGAAUAUUUCAGAUAUUUAUAAAUUUAUAACAACAUUGUCAUGAUCAAUUUUUUUAAUAUAAUCUAAAAGAAUGAAAAUAUAAGACAUGAAUCAUGUGUUAGUGGAACAUAUUUAAUAAGAAAUGCAGUUUUCCAAAUUAAAAAAAAAACGUGCUUUUGUCAAACAUAUCUUAAUUUUCAUUUAGUAAAACAAAAUUAAAACUAAUUACUUCAUUAUUUCAUUUAAGAUUUUUUGCUACCCAAACUCAAAUGACUCUUAAAAUUACUAAUUGUAGAAAGACAUUUAUUAAGAUAUUAUAACUGUUUUUAUAAGAAUUUUCUUGUUAAGGUGUUAUAAAUAAUUUUAAAAAAUAAUAGUACUUGCGUGUUGAAUAAAUACAAAAGGACACUUAUUGUGAAUUUUAACUAUUUUAAAAAAUAUUUCUAAUAGUUGCACAUUGGAAAAACAAAAAUAAUCAUUGUUUUUUUAAUGAAAAGACACAAUUUUUGUAAUAAGAAGAUACAACUCUUAAAGUUAUUAAUUGUAGAAAGACUCUUAUUAAUAUAUUAUAACUGCUUUUUAAAAAAAAUCACUUGUUAAGAUGUUAUAACAAAUUAAUUUUUUUUUGUAUAUUUGCAUGUUGAAAAAAUGAAAAAAAACUUAUUGUGAUAUUUUAAUUAUUUUAAAAAACGUUUCCAAUAGUUGCAUGUUGGAAAAACAAAACUAACCACAGUUUUUAUGAAAAUACACAAUAUUUAUAAUAAGAAAACAAAACUCUUAAAAUUAUUAAGUGUAGAAGAAAACUAUUAAUAUACUACAUAACUACUUAAAAAAAGAAUCCAAUAGUUACAUGUUGAAAAAAAUAAAUCUAAUUUCAGUUUUUGUGAAAAGACACAACUCUAAACAUUAAAUGGGAUUGGGUUAACUGUCUAAAACCUCCUCUAUUAAACAAAUCAACACUCAUUCCCCCAAACUAUUGUACUCGUCGAAAACCCACUUAUAUUAUUUGAUUCUAAUAAGUUUCUAACUAAUUCCACAUUUGGAAUUUAAAACAUGAAAUGGCGUUUAAUUCUCCCUAAUAGCGUCUGGUUACGAUUACCCAUAAUCCAAAAUCCGAUCUGAUACAAACGCAAAGCUAAAUCUAUUUAAACUACGAAUAAACGUCGCCUUGGGCCCUUUCCAGCGAAUCUCCACCGUCAAUCUCUCCUUCUCCGGUUCCCUCGCCAGAUCCCACCCUUCUAAUCUCCUCACGGAUAGCUUCACCACGUAUUUCCUCGUAACUAACGGCGGCCAUGGCCGCCACUUCAUCAUCUUCACCACCAUUGUAACUCCUAAGCGACGUCACGAAAAGAGAGAUUGAAGAGACGUAAACAAACUCUUUCUCAAAUAGUUGAGAAAAAAACAGGG